AACGUAGGUGGCGAGCGUUAUCCGGAUUUACUGGGCGUAAAGCGUGUGCAGGCGGAGUGGUAAGUGGUGUAUGAAAUCUCCCAGCUUAACUGGGAGGGGUUAUGCCAGACUGCCAUUCUAGAGUGCGAGAGAGGAGCGUGGAAUUCCGGGUGUAGUGGUGAAAUGCGUAGAUAUCGGGAGGAACACCUGUGGCGAAAGCGGCUCACUGGACCACAACUGACGCUGAUGCGCGAAAGCUAGGGGAGCAAACAGG
rnacentral:rRNA from 1 species